rnacentral:rRNA from 1 species
UUCGGGGAUAUGAUUAAACUGGCGAACGGGUGAGUAACACGUAGGCAACCUGCCCCAGAGAUUGGGAUAACCCACCGAAAGGUGGACUAAAACCGAAUGAUGCAGCAGAUUCUUCGGAAUACUGCUGCUAAAGCGGGCUUCGGCUCGUGCUUUGGGAUGGGCCUGCGUCCGAUUAGCUUGUUGGUGGGGUAAUGGCCUACCAAGGCUUUGAUCGGUAACUGGUCUGAGAGGAUGAUCAGUCACACUGGGAUUGAGAUACGGCCCAGACUCC